rnacentral:rRNA from 1 species
UGCCACUGCCGUGGAGUCUGACUCUAGUGCGCAGUAACGAUUACGUGACCGCUGGGAUACGCCGCAAGUUAAACUCAAUGAUUGACGGGGGCCGCACAGCGGUGAGCAUGUGUUUAAUCGAGCAACGCGAGAUCUUACCAGCCUUGACAUCCAAUGAACUUCUAGAGAUAGAUUGGUGCCUUUCGGGAACAUUGAGACAGGUGCUGCAUGGCUGUCGUCAGCUCGUGUCGUGAGAUGUUGGGUUAAGUCCCGUAACGAGCGCAACCCUUGUCCUUAGUUACCAGCACGUAAUGGUGGGCACUCUGAGGAGACUGCCGGUGACAAACCGGAGGAAGGUGGGGAUGACGUAAAGUCAUCAUGGCCCCUUACGGCCUGGGCUACACACGUGCUACAAUGGUCGGUACAAAGGGUUGCCAAGCCGCGAGGUGGAGCUAAUCCCAUAAAACCGAUCGUAGUCCGGAUCGCAGUCUGCAACUCGACUGCGUGAAGUCGGAAUCGCUAGUAAUCGUGAAUCAGAAUGUCACGGUGAAUACGUUCCCGGGACCUUGUACACACCGCCCGUCACACCAUGGGAGUGGGUUGCACCAGAAGUAGCUAGUCUAACUUCGGGAGGACGGUUACCACGGUGCGAUUCAUGACUGGGGUGAAGUCGUAACAAGGUAACC